rnacentral:rRNA from 1 species
AUUGAACGCUGGCGGCAGGCUUAACACAUGCAAGUCGAGCGGGGUGAUGGUGCUUGCACUAUCACUUAGCGGCGGACGGGUGAGUAAUGCUUAGGAAUCUGCCUAUUAGUGGGGGACAACAUCUCGAAAGGGAUGCUAAUACCGCAUACGUCCUACGGGAGAAAGCAGGGGAUCACUUGUGACCUUGCGCUAAUAGAUGAGCCUAAGUCGUAUUAGCUAGUUGGUGGGGUAAAGGCCUACCAAGGCGACGAUCUGUAGCGGGUCUGAGAGGAUGAUCCGCCACACGGGGACUGAGACACGGCCCAGACUCCUACGGGAGGCAGGAGUGGGGAAUAUUGGACAAUGGGGGGAACCCUGAUCCAGCCAUGCCGCGUGUGUGAAGAAGGCCUUAUGGUUGUAAAGCACUUUAAGCGAGGAGGAGGCUCUUUUGGUUAAUACCCAAGAUGAGUGGACGUUACUCGCAGAAUAAGCACCGGCUAACUCUGUGCCAGCAGCCGCCGUAA